GUCCACGCCGUAAACGAUGAGUGCUAGACGCUGGGGGCUUGGCUCUCGGUGUCGUCGCUAACGCAUUAAGCACUCCGCCUGGGGAGUACGGCCGCAAGGUUAAAACUCAAAGGAAUUGACGGGGGCCCGCACAAGCGGUGGAGCAUGUGGUUCAAUUCGAAGCAACGCGCAGAACCUUACCAGCCCUUGACAUGGGGAGUAUGGGCCGCAGAGACGCGGUCCUUCAGUUCGGCUGGCUCCCACACAGGUGCUGCAUGGCUGUCGU
rnacentral:rRNA from 1 species